rnacentral:rRNA from 1 species
GAUGAACGCUGGCGGCGUGCCUAAUACAUGCAAGUCGAGCGAACAGACGAGGAGCUUGCUCCUCUGACGUUAGCGGCGGACGGGUGAGUAACACGUGGAUAACCUACCUAUAAGACUGGGAUAACUUCGGGAAACCGGAGCUAAUGCCGGAUAAUAUAUUGAACCGCAUGGUUCAAUAGUGAAAGACGGUUUUGCUGUCACUUAUAGAUGGAUCCGCGCCGCAUUAGCUAGUUGGUAAGGUAACGGCUUACCAAGGCAACGAUGCGUAGCCGACCUGAGAGCGUGAUCGGCCACACUGGAACUGAGACACGGUCCAGACUCCUACGGGAGGCAGCAGUAGGGAAUCUUCCGCAAUGGGCGAAAGCUUGACGGAGCAACGCCGCGUGAGUGAUGAAGGUCUUCGGAUCGUAAAACUCUGUUAUUAGGGAAGAACAAAUGUGUAAGUAACUAUGCACGUCUUGACGGUACCUAAUCAGAAAGCCACGGCUAACUACGUG